CCCUAGUCCCCUGUUCCUGGCCGCUUCUUUUUCUCUCUGGGCACGUUGUUCAUUCCUCUUCCUAAAAUGGCUUCUUCUCCUUUCGUUGCUGCAAUUAUAGGAGAGGAGAAUCCAUUUUAGGAAGGGAAUGAAUACUGUGUCGGUUUUAUGAGGGAGACAAUCUGACAAAAUUAUAACAUGGUUUUUCUCCAUUCUUGAAAUUUGAUAUCAACUAUUUCAGUUUCAGAUAAAAGAUGAGAAAGUGAUGAAGGAGUUUAUUUUAGAGCAAGCGGAGAAUCUAUGUUCUGCGGGGUUGUGGUUUCUAUAUUGUUCUGUGCUGUAUUGUGAGGCAAAAUCAAUGUUUGGGGACUGGUUACUCUGCUGUUUUUGUUAAAUUUUGUUGUGUUUUUGAGAUAUAAAUUAACCAAUAUGAUUUAUGACUUCUUAAACUCACAUGUUUUAUGGAAUAAUUCUUAAGUUCAAAAAAUGAAAAUAAUAAUAAUAAUUGGUUGAUAAUGUUAA